rnacentral:rRNA from 1 species
AGUAUAAGAGGUCCCGCCUGCCCUGUGACUAUAUGUUUAACGGCCGCGGUAUUUUGACCGUGCGAAGGUAGCGCAAUCACUUGUCUUUUAAAUGGGGACCUGUAUGAAUGGCAUAACGAGGGCUUAACUGUCUCCUCUUUCAAGUCAAUGAAAUUGAUCUCCCCGUGCAGAAGCGAGGAUAGAUACAUAAGACGAGAAGACCCUAUGGAGCUUUAGACACUAAAGCAGAUCAGUAUUAAUACCCUGAACAUAGACUACGAAUAAACUGACCCCUGCCCUAAUGUCUUUGGUUGGGGCGACCGCGGAGAAAAAUAAAACCCCCGCAAGGACUAAAUGUACUACAUUCACAAACAAGAGCGACAGCUCUAACUAACAGAACUUCUGACCAAUAAGAUCCGGCAAUGCCGAUCAAUGAACCGAGUUACCCUAGGGAUAACAGCGCAAUCUCCUCUUAGAGCCCAUAUCGAC